GACGAACGCUUGCGGCGUGCUUAACACAUGCAAGUCGAACGGAAAGGCCCUGCUUUUGUGGGGUGCUCGAGUGGCGAACGGGUGAGUAACACGUGAGUAACCUGCCCUUGACUUUGGGAUAACUUCAGGAAACUGGGGCUAAUACCGGAUAGGAGCUCCUGCUGCAUGGUGGGGGUUGGAAAGUUUCGGCGGUUGGGGAUGGACUCGCGGCUUAUCAGCUUGUUGGUGGGGUAGUGGCUUACCAAGGCUUUGACGGGUAGCCGGCCUGAGAGGGUGACCGGCCACAUUGGGACUGAGAUACGGCCCAGACUCCUACGGGAGGCAGCAGUGGGGAAUAUUGCACAAUGGGCGGAAGCCUGAUGCAGCAACGCCGCGUGCGGGAUGACGGCCUUCGGGUUGUAAACCGCUUUCGCCUGUGACGAAGCGUGAGUGACGGUAAUGGGUAAAGAAGCACCGGCUAACUACGUGCCAGCAGCCGCGGUGAUACGUAGGGUGCGAGCGUUGUCCGGAUUUAUUGGGCGUAAAGGGCUCGUAGGUGGUUGAUCGCGUCGGAAGUGUAAUCUUGGGGCUUAACCCUGAGCGUGCUUUCGAUACGGGUUGACUUGAGGAAGGUAGGGGAGAAUGGAAUUCCUGGUGGAGCGGUGGAAUGCGCAGAUAUCAGGAGGAACACCAGUGGCGAAGGCGGUUCUCUGGGCCUUUCCUGACGCUGAGGAGCGAAAGCGUGGGGAGCGAACAGGCUUAGAUACCCUGGUAGUCCACGCUGUAAACGGUGGGUACUAGGUGUGGGGUCCAUUCCACGGGUUCCGUGCCGUAGCUAACGCUUUAAGUACCCCGCCUGGGGAGUACGGCCGCAAGGCUAAAACUCAAAGGAAUUGACGGGGCCCCGCACAAGCGGCGGAGCAUGCGGAUUAAUUCGAUGCAACGCGUAGAACCUUACCUGGGUUUGACAUGGAUCGGGAGCGCUCAGAGAUGGGUGUGCCUCUUUUGGGGUCGGUUCACAGGUGGUGCAUGGCUGUCGUCAGCUCGUGUCGUGAGAUGUUGGGUUAAGUCCCGCAACGAGCGCAACCCUUGUUCACUGUUGCCAGCACGUUAUGGUGGGGACUCAGUGGAGACCGCCGGGGUCAACUCGGGGGAAGGUGGGGAUGACGUCAAGUCAUCAUGCCCCUUAUGUCCAGGGCUUCACGCAUGCUACAAUGGCUGGUACAGAGAGUGGCGAGCCUGUGAGGGUGAGCGAAUCUCGGAAAGCCGGUCUCAGUUCGGAUUGGGGUCUGCAACUCGACCUCAUGAAGUCGGAGUCGCUAGUAAUCGCAGAUCAGCAACGCUGCGGUGAAUACGUUCCCGGGGCU
rnacentral:rRNA from 1 species